rnacentral:lncRNA from 1 species
GCACAUGGCAUGUGGCUAAUGCGUUUGCAUCCUCCAAACAAACACAAUUGAGCACAGAAAUAGCACACAGAGAGGAAACUGUAAAACUAUUGAAUUUUAUAAUAUUUAAACCUCUCAGAGAUCCGUAUUCCCUGGCUCUGUUGCUCCUCCUCACAUGGCUGGCAGAGUCUGAGACGUUAGCCUCCAUGUUGAAAUUCAAGAGACAUACCAUGUCAUGGAAGCUGAAUCCAAAAGAAACCUCCCCAAGUCUACAGCUCUUCAACAUGGAUGAAAAUGCCGGAGAAUAGUUCAAAUCCUUAAAAGAUUUCUUGAAGGAAAAUAUGCUGCUGUGUUUUCUGACUGGUUGAUACUGAGACCGUGUUAGAGCUACGGAGCAUCUGUCUGAUGACUGUGCUUCCAGGAGGCCACCCACUAAAGACUGGAGGGAAUUUCUAUCAUUCUAGCUUGGUGAGU